rnacentral:misc_RNA from 1 species
AGCAGCCGCGGUAAUUCCAGCUCCAAUAGCGUAUAUUAAAGUUGUUGCAGUUAAAAAGCUCGUAGUUGAAUUUUGGGUCUGCCGGGCGGUCCGCCCUCUGGGUGAGCACUGUUCCGACGCCGGGCCUAUCCUUCUGAUGAGUCGGCAUGUCCUUUAUUGGGUGUGUCGGGGAACCAGGACCAUUACCUUGAAAAAUUAGAGUGUUCAAAGCAGGCGUAUGCUCGAAUACAUUAGCAUGGAAUAAUGAAAUAGGACGCGUGGUGCUAUUUUGUUGGUUUCUAGAACCGACGUAAUGAUUAAUAGGGAUAGUUGGGGGCAUUAGUAUUCAAUUGUCAGAGGUGAAAUUCUUGGAUUUAUUGAAGACUAACUUCUGCGAAAGCAUUUGCCAAGGAUGUUUUCAUUAAUCAAGAACGAAAGUUAGGGGGAUCGAAGACGAUCAGAUACCGUCGUAGUCUUAACCAUAAACUAUGCCGACUAGGAAUCGGGCGAUGUUAUUCUCAUGACUCGCCCCGGCGCCUU